UAUAUUGGACUAUGGGGGCAACCCUGCUCCAGCCAUGCCGCGCGUGGGGAGAGGGUCUUCGGAUUGUAAAGCACUUUAAGUUGGGAGGAAGGGCUUUAGGUUAAUACCCUGAAGUUUUGACGUUACCAACAGAAUAAGCACCGGCUCACUCUGUGCCAGCAGCCGCGGUAAUACAGAGGGUGCAAGCGUUAAGCGGAAUUACUGGGCGUAAAGCGCGCGUAGGUGGUUCAGUAAGAUGGGUGUGAAAUCCCCGGGCUUAACCUGGGAACUGCUUUCAUAACUGCUGAGCUAGAGUACGGUAGAGGGUAGUGGAAUUUCCUGUGUAGCGGUGAAAUGCGUAGAUAUAGGAAGGAACACCAGUGGCGAAGGCGACUACCUGGACUGAUACUGACACUGAGGUGCGAAAGCGUGGGGAGCAAAC
rnacentral:rRNA from 1 species